rnacentral:rRNA from 1 species
CCUACGGGUGGCAGCAGUGAGGAAUAUUGGUCAAUGGACGCAAGUCUGAACCAGCCAUGCCGCGUGCAGGAAGACUGCCCUAUGGGUUGUAAACUUCUUUUAUAAGGGAAUAAAACGAGACACGUGUGCCUUUUUGAAAGUAUUUUAUGAAUAAGGAUCGGCUAACUCCGUGCCAGCAGCCGCGGUAAUACGGAGGAUUCAAGCGUUAUCCGGAUUUAUUGGGUUUAAAGGGUGCGUAGGUGGUCUGAUAAGUUAGUGGUGAAAGUCUGAGGCUCAACCGUAAAAUUGCAAUUGAUACUGGCAGUCUAGAGUAUAGUUGAGGUAAGCGGAAUGUGUGGUGUAGCGGUGAAAUGCUUAGAUAUCAUGCAGAACCCCGAUUGCGAAGGCAGCUUACCAAGCUGUUACUGACAUUGAGGCUCGAAAGCGUGGGGAGCAAACAGGAUUAGAUACCCUUGUAGUC